UGAUAGUGUGGUGCCGUCUGGGGCGGGAAUACUAGGGGGGCUAGCGUUGGUCGUAAUUACUGGGGUGAGAGCGGACGUAGGCGGACAGUUAAGGCAGGGGUGAAAUCCCGGGGCUGAACCCCGGAACUGCCUUUGAUACUGGGUGUCUUGAGGUCGAGGGAGGUGAGUGGAAGUCCGAGUGUAGAGGUGAAAGUCGUAGAUAUUCGGAGGAACACCAGUGGCGAAGGCGGCUCACUGGCUCGAACCUGACGCUGAGGUGCGAAAGCGUGGGGAGCAAACAGGAUUAGAUACCCUUGUAGUC
rnacentral:rRNA from 1 species